rnacentral:RNase_P_RNA from 2 species
AGAGGCGACAAGCUUAUGUAUACGGGCAAACUUACGAAAAGACUUGUUCUUUAAUCUAAAACCCGUGGGAAGGUCUGAGAAAAGCCGCUAAAUGUCUUUGCUGGACAACCUGUUAAAAAUGGGGGCAGUGCUACCAGAAAUUAUUAUCGUCUGAAGACCAUUAGUACCUUUGAAGGAUUCGGAUGACCCUCUUGGGGGGAGUCAGUCUCUUGAUGGGUGUGUCUCAGAUGUUUACUGUAACGGCCUGCGGGUGGUAAUGCUAUGAAGUGCAAUACAUGAGACUGACAUUGUCAGUAACUCAAUUCAGACUACUCUGUUGCCUCU